rnacentral:rRNA from 1 species
UACGGAGGAUGCAAGCGUUAUCCGGAAUGAUUGGGCGUAAAGGGUCCGCAGGUGGCAGUGUAAGUCUGCUGUCAAAGAAUGAGGCUUAACCUUAUCAAGGCAGUGGAAACUACACAGCUAGAGUACGGUCGGGGUAGAAGGAAUUCCUGGUGUAGCGGUGAAAUGCGUAGAGAUCAGGAAGAACAUCGGUGGCGAAGGCGCUCUGCUGGACCAUAACUGACACUCAGGGACGAAAGCUAGGGGAGCGAAUGGG